AAUGAACGUUGGCGGCAUGGAUUAGGCAUGCAAGUCGGGGGAAUCCCAGCAAUGGGGGAACCGGCGUAAGGGGCAGUAAGGCAUGGGUACCUACCUUGGGGUUUGGGAUAGCCAUCAGAGAUGGUGGGUAAUACCGGAUGACGUCGUGAGACCAAAGAUUCAUCGCCCUUAGAGGGGCCCAUGUGAUAUUAGCUAGUUGGUGGGGUAACGGCCCACCAAGGCGAAGAUGUCUAGCGGGUGUGAGAGCACGACCCGCGCCACUCGCACUGAGACACUGGCGAGACACCUACGGAUGGCUGCAGUCGAGGAUCUUCGGCAAUGAGCGCAAGCUUGACCGAGCGAUGCCGCGUGAGCGAUGAAGGCCUUCGGGUUGUAAAGCUCUUUAGUGGGGGAGAAAAGCCGCAAGGUGUGAUCUAUCCCAAAAAUAAGCACGGGCUAAGUUCGUGCCAGCAGCCGCCGUAA
rnacentral:rRNA from 1 species